GUGAAUCAUCAAAUUUUUGAACGCAAAUGGCGCCUUUUUCGGAAUGGAUGUCUGUUUGAGGUCACCAUUUAACAAAUAAUGUUCAUCGUUUGUUGCUGCACACGUGGAUGAGCUUUCCAAGAAUUUUAAAUUUUUGGUGGCGCAUAAUGAACAUCGUGAAAGUUUUUUUCAGUUCGAGUGUAGUAAAAUCUUUGCUGUGGUUGUGAAAAAACAUAAUCGCGCAGUGGGUGUGGCAAUUUCUUUUUAUCCCUACGCCAAUGCCACUCUUUCUCACUUAAUAAGUGC
rnacentral:misc_RNA from 1 species